GGGGGAAACAAUGUAAUCUUUUGAUACUCUCUUUUAUUGAAACUCUUGUUUAUUUAUAUGAUUUCCAUAUGCUUUGAUUAUUAAUUGUUGGGUUCUCAUCUAUGCUUAAUGCUUUUAUCGUUUAACUCAUUCGAUAACUGUUGUUUGUCUUNAUUGAUAUGGGGACGUACAGUAAUGUCAUGAACUGGUGAGUGAUUCCUUAAUUAAGCAAUACCACUUAGGGAUAGGGGUAGGACGAUCAAUUGUUUUUCACUUCUUAGAACUUUGCUUGUCCUCAAGCAAACAAGACAAAACUUGGCUUUCCACUUUUUCAUCAAAAUAGUUCAACAAUCCCAAAAUUCAUUCUUCUCACAACAAGUCAUUACUCAUUUCAGAUUUUCAGUGGAAUCUUAUCAAGAUGCAUACAUGCUUUCAAUUCAAUUCAGUUCACAUGAUCAUAUAUUUUCCAAUAGAUGUUUUACUUAUGAAUGACCAAUCAGCUAAGCAUAGAUGUAAACAUGGAAUUUAUCAAUUCUCUCCAAGCAAGUGUUUCACUCAAUCACUCAAGUGUUUAAGAGGGUACUCCAUCUCUCUACUACUCACAUGUCACCUGAAACAAAAUUGCUCUUCGUCUAAUACAAUUAAUAUUCUCACUACAAAUGCCAUCACAAGGACUUUUUCAAGGCUUAUAAUGAACCUGGGCUAACAAGAAAUAUUGGUUUUUCUAGAGCACAAAAUCCUUGAGUCAAGAGAGCUAUUUUAAUAUUCAAAGUUCAAGCACAAACUCUCUUCUUAACCAAUCUCACUCAUUCCCAACUUCUUCCUUUUUCUUUUAUUUUUACAUUGAGCUUAUCAUUCAUGCUUUUUCUUUUCUUCUUUUUCUUUUCUCAUGCUUUUUCUUUUAUUCAACACUUGAGCUCAAUGUCUUUCUUUUGCCUCUCAAAUUUCCCCAAACAACCCCAAACUUGAACCUUUUCAAUACCAUACAAUUAUUCUCAACC
rnacentral:lncRNA from 1 species